GUAGGUGGCAAGCGUUGUCCGGGAAUUAUUGGGGCGUAAAGCGCGCGCAGGCGGUUCUUUAAGUCUGAUGUGAAAGCCCACGGGCUCAACCGUGGAGGGUCAUUGGAAACUGGAGAACUUGAGUACAGAAGAGGAAAGCGGAAUUCCACGUGUAGCGGUGAAAUGCGUAGAGAUGUGGAGGAACACCAGUGGCGAAGGCGGCGUUUCUGGUCUGUAACUGACGCUGAGGCGCGAAAGCGUGGGGAGCAAACAGGAUUAGAUACCCUGGUAGUCCACGCCGCAAACGAUGAGUGCUAAGUGUUAGGGGGGUUUCCGCCCCUUAGUGCUGCAGCUAACGCAUUAAGCACUCCGCCUGGGGAGUACGGCCGCAAAGGCUG
rnacentral:rRNA from 1 species